rnacentral:lncRNA from 1 species
AAUGCCCAGGGAGGUGUCGCCCUUCGCAGGACAGUUUGGAAGAUCGUAGUUUUUUUCUUGGGUUUGGGGAUUUUUUUUUUUACUUUCUUUUUCCUUUUUUUUUUUUUUUUUUUUUUUUUUUUUUUUUUUUUUUUUUUUUNNNNNNNNNNNNNNNNNNNNGUUGUUUGUUUGUUUGUUUGUUUGUUUUNUUUUNUUUUNUUUUNUUUUUNUUUUUUNUUUUUUNUUUUUUUUUCUUUUUGAUCUACUACGGUUGGGACCAGCUGAGUUUGACGUUGGUGAAUGUCUUUCUGCAGAAGGCAUCUCACGGCAGCAGGAUGAGGUGGUGCCAGGAGAAAGCUGGAAGAGAAUGGAAAAGCUGGAAUGGAGCGUUUAUCGAGGCUCUGUCAUGCAGGGAUGAAGUGAAUGGAGAGAUCUGCAGAUCCAUCAGUCACCCUUCAGCCCAGUACAACCUACUUUGCCAGAGGACCAAAGUGGGUUUAAAAGGGUCAACCAGAUCGGGCUGUGAGAGCAGCAGCUUUGACCCUGAUGGGGAAGGUGGGGGAGGGGACCUCCCUGGCUCAGUUUGA